rnacentral:rRNA from 1 species
UACAGAGGUGGCAAGCGUUGUUCGGAAUUACUGGGCGUAAAGGGCGCGUAGGUGGCCUUCUUAGUCAGACGUGAAAUCCCCGGGCUUAACUCGGGAACUGCGUCUGAUACUGGAAGGCUGGAGUUCGGGAGAGGAAUGUGGAAUUCCAGGUGUAGCGGUGAAAUGCGUAGAUAUCUGGAGGAACACCGGUGGCGAAGGCGGCAUUCUGGACCGAAACUGACGCUGAGACGCGAAAGCGUGGGGAGCAAACAGG